UCAUCCAAGGUUAAAAAAUGUUUUUGACCUUUUUAUACCAAUAAUAAAUAGUGUUGUAGUUUUCAAUCCCUAAUUUAUAUGCGUCUAUGAUUUGAUGGCGAGCAUUCGAUUCAAACUUUCCCUGCAACUACGCGAAGGCCUGCCCCUGAUCAGCUUCAGCACCGAACACGCUAACCCUGAAUCGCCAGGCCCAGCGCAGCGCUCGUCUCGCAUUUUCAACCUAAUCCGGCAUCAGACAAAUUCGAUUCAGAAAACUCGAUAGUGAGAUCCAGAGAAGAGAUCGAGAGGAAAUUAUAGAAAUAUCCCACUUCCAAUCCCGGUUCAGCAAAGAAGUCAAUUAGCAAGAUGGCCAGAAAUCAUCCCUUGCCUGAUAACGGAUGUUGACAACCAAUUCUCUCUCAGACCAGUUAUCUUUUGCAAGGCCAAGACGAGGCAGGACAAGGAGGUCAGAAAGACCAAUCUCGAACUACCUUGUAUACCCUUCUUCCAUUGUUUUCCUCUUUUCUAUAACUCAUCAGUGAUGGAGGAUAACAAGGCCUCUAGAAAUGAUGACGCUCCUUUUUAUGUUGUUCGCAAGGGAGAUAUGAUCGGUGUGUACCGAUCUCUCGAGGACUGCCGCUCGUUGAUUCCUUCUUCUGUACGUGACCCAUCUGUUACUGUGUAUAAAGGGCAGUCUUUGAGCAAAGAGUUAGAAGCAUACCUUCUUUAUCGCGGUCUUAAGAAUGCUGUGUACUCCAUUAGCUCAAAGGAUGCAAGCGAUGAACUACUUGGCUCACUUAUGCCUUGUAAUUUUCAGGAAGCUGCGGGUUGUACUUCAUUUUCCAGUGAGCAGCCAUUAAAGUGUUCUAAAUUGAGGAAGAUAGGUGAUGCAGUUUCUUCUCGCCCUGUCACGUAUCUUCUUGAAUUUGAUGGUGCUUCAAAAGGAAAUCCAGGAAAAGGUGGUGCAGGAGCCAUAAUUCGAACUGAAGAUGGAAGAGUGGUUUGUCAAUUGCGUGAAGGUUUGGGUGUCGUGACUAAUAAUGUUGCCGAAUAUAGAGCUCUCAUAUUAGGAAUGAAGUUUGCUCUCAAAAAGGGAUUUGACCGAAUACGAGUACAGGGUGACUCCAUGUUAGUUUGUAUGCAGAUUCAGGACAUAUGGAAAACCAAGAACAAGAACAUCAUGGAUUUGAGUAUGGAAGCCAAAGAACUGAAGAAAAAGUUCACAUCUUUCCAAAUCAAUCAUGUUGGAAGAGUAUGGUUUUUAUUUUUAUUUUUUUUAUUGCAUCAUUUGUGUUUGUGUAUGUGCCCAUCCGUUUUAUUUAUUUGUUCAGAUAUAUCUCUUCUUAACAUAAUUUUAUAUACUGUUUAUAUUUUCAAUAGAUGUCGUCAAUUUUGUAUCUCGUGCAUUAUGUGUGCUUUAUAUGUUACAGCUUACCUAAAGCUAUCCAAUAUUGGUAUAUUUCUUUGACAAGAUUUGCAACAGAAUAACUCAAUUUUAACUUAGCCAAAUCAUUUUACUCGCAUCUCUGAUGCCCUGUUGAUCUUGUACCAAUUUGACCAUCACUCUCGAGCUAUCUUGAGACAUCUUGCAUCCUAAACAGCUUUGUAAACUGAAAAGUUUGUCACAGAUUUCAUAGCUGGCCUGGUAAGUUCUCUAUGCCUAUCCACCACUUGAGAACAAUGCAGCUGGCCUGGUAAGUUCUCCAUUCGUAUCCACCACUUGAGAACAAAGUGCAUUGCUGUACUCGAGCAUUCGACAGUUUAGCCACGUGUGUGUCUUAAUUGAGGUUUGCCAUGUUUCUAUUCUCUAGUAUAAGGUCUAUGUAAUGCAUGGUGCAGUGUAUUUUAUGCAUUCUAGGAUUGAGUUUUAAGCAAAAUUCCGACAUCAAAGUUGUUGACUAUCCAUCUAUUUUUUAUUGGACAGUAUUCAGUAUUCUCAUUCAUGGCUUCUUCCUACGGCAUGAAUGCUAUCCUUAUGUUCCUUUAUUUAGCUAGAACCUCUCUCUUCUUCCUCAUCAUUGUUAUGUGUAACUGAUUUUGUUCCUGCAGUAGACAUAGGCUUUUUAUGGAUAUGAAUUCACCUUGAGUAUUUAUAAGUUUCGUUGGUUUGUUUUACAAGGAAUACAAUUCUGAAGCUGAUGCGUUGGCCAACGCAGCCAUUGGACUUGGAAGUGGUGAAGUUCGAGAAGCCUGAUUAGAUCUACUCUGAUAUAGCAAUCUUUCUGACAAUUUUGUGCAUACAUGCUAGCAGUGGUACAGUGAUAUGGGCCAUACAAUCCUUUGAUGGCAACUGCUUGCCUUUCUGACUCCCUGUUCUUUUCUGGGAAAGUGAUAUUUGUAUCCUGCAAACGAUUGCUGAAAACUUAAUUCCUAGCAGAAACAAGUGAAAAUUGCUACUUUGUCUUAGACCAUUUUCCCAAACUAGCUACUGGUUCAUGGUCACUUGAGGGUGCAGUCACUGCAGAGAUGCUAUUGCUAUUCGCACUUUCUUGCUUGAUGUAAAUUUAUUGGAAAUUUAUAGAUAAAUAGAAUACUGUUUCUCUAAGACAGAGAAAAGGUGCGAUGCGUCUCUUAUAAUUUUUUGUAUGUAUUCUAUUUUGAGAUGUCAUUGAUAGAUGCCCCUUGCAAUGUUUAA